UAACAGUUAUAUGGGUUUAACCGAAAACGGUCGGUAUAAAAUACGCGGUUUUUUUUUCAAAAAUUUGGUAGUUUUAAAUAGUAAAAAUACCCCCGUUUUUUGUUAAUUAUAUAAUUAUAUUUGGUUAACGGAUAAUUUAAUUUAUCGUUAAAACGGUCCGUUACCCAAUAUUCUUUAAUAAUAUAAACGGCGUUUCCUAUUCCGAAAUCGGGUUUCCGGCGGUAUUUAUUAAUUUGGUUAUAUAUUCGUUAAUACGCCAUUUGGAGGUAGGUGCGUACCGUUUCCACGUAAUUUUCGAGCUUUUUGGUAAUUGUUUAAGUUUCGGUUUUUGUAAAUCGUGUACGGGUAAAUAAUCCUUUUAAUUCGGUUUUUUGCGUUUAAUCGAAAUAUAUAUAAACCGGGUAACCGUUUUUAAUUUCGAAAGGUGAAAAUCCUCCGAAAAAGUUAUGAGGUAACGUUACCUGCACCAAAUCGAUUACGGAUAUACAUUUAUCCCAAUCGUUUUAAAAAUGGUUAGUAUAAAGGCGUAACCUUUGGUUAAUAUAAAAGUUUAUAAUUUUUAUUUGCCCUGCUGUUUGGAAAUACCCGGCCGUCGAAAAUUUCUAUUUAAUUUGCAAGAUUUUAGACAUUUCGUCGAUUAAGUUUAAUAUAAAUUACGGACCUUUGUCGGAAACGAUUUUCGUGGGGAAAUUAUAAACGCGGUAAAGACUUUCGUAAUAUAUUAUAGUUGUAUUUUUUACGGUAGCCGCUUUUAUAUAUAAAACGGCCCACGACUGUUUCGUUAACGUUUUAAUUAUUACAAACAGGGUAUCGUUUCCCGAUUUCGUUUCGGAUAUUAAUUUAAAAUUUACGACGAUAAUGCUCCAUUACCGAUCCGGUACGGGUAAUGGUUGUAAAAACCCAGGGGUUUUAUUGUUCGGAAUUUUGGCUGCUCGACAGAAGCAAUUAGCGAUAUAACGGUCCACUAUUCCGUUUAUACCUGGUUACCAAAACUGUUGUGCCACCAAACGGCGGGUUUUAUUGCGGUUAAUAUGGGCCGUAGCAAUAAUCCUAUAAAUUUUAGAAUUAUUUUGGCGGACCAUUUCCCGUCGUUUGGGAUUAUUAAUCUCCUUCGGUACAAUACGUAUUUAUCGUAUAAUAACGUCCAAUAUUUUUUCUCGGGGUUACGGGCUUUACUUCGGUACUAUUUAAGCAAUAGUAAAUAUUUAUUGGCCCUAAACAUUUUUUUAACGAAUAAUAAUUAUUGAUUUGCGCCAAUUGGUUCGAUUAUUACCAACAGUAUUCCGAAACCGUUAUCGGUAAUAAUUUACCAAUAUAAAAAAGGGUUAAUUAUAUAAAAAUCGUCGCCAACAUUAUCGACAAAACGGAAAAUAAUUAUAUAACGUUUUAUUUUCUAACGUCUUAUUUUCUAACGUUUUAUUUUCUAACGUUUUUUUUAAUUUUGUACAUCCUUCACUUUGCGGGUUAAAAUAUUUGCUAACACGUUUUCGCUACCAGGGCGGUAAAUAAUUUGAAAAUUAUAUUGGGAAAAAAAGUCGGCCCAGGCCGUUUACCGGCAAUUAAACAACCGUUUUGUAAAAAGAUAGUCCAAAACUUUACAAUUAAUAAUCGCCACAAAUUUUUUUGGUACCCAUUAAUUUUGGUUUCCAGGUUUUUAACGUUUUAACGAUUGCUAGCAAUUCCUUGUGGUGGAUGGGGUAAUUAAAUUUCGCCUGUUGUAUAAUGUCGGAAAAAAAUACGAUCGGAUACCAUUUUUAAAUAUUUGGGUUUUAUUACAGCAAUGUUCCGGCCAUUAUUUUUCCGGAAGUAUUAAUUUUUACCUUUAUUUCGUAAUCCGUUAAAUAAUAGGUAAAAACGGGUGCGGAAAUCAACGCUUUCUUAGGAUAUUAAAAGCGACGCGGGAAUAUUCGUCCCAUUAGAAAGGCACCGCUUUUUCGUCAAAUUUAUUAACGGUUUGGUUACCCGGCUGUAUUUUGGAACAAAUUUUCUGUAAAAAUUGCAAAACUUUAGAAAAAAUUGUAUUUUUUUUAUAGUAGUGGAUAAUACCCAUUAUUUUACGGCGGUUAUUUUAUUUGGGUUAAUAACGACGCCUUUAAUGCCUAUAAUAAAAUCCAAAAAUCGUGUUUUUAUAACGUGGAAUUCGUAUUUUUUAAUAUUAGUUUGGAUUCCAGUUUUUUUUUGUUUUUCCAGGAUUUGUCGGACGUAAAUUUGGUGUUCCUUCUAAAUCUCGUUCCAAAUUAAAACAUCGUCCAUAUAAACGGAACAAAAAUCGUCCAAAUAUUUUAUUAGGAUUUCGUUAAUAAAUUUUUGGAACGUGGCCGGCCCGUUAAUAAAACCAAAAGGUAAUAUAUUAUACCGGAAAAUCCCGUAUCGGGUUUUAAAAAUUGUGUAAUUUCGAUAUUCCGGGCUUAUACGGAUCCGGUGGAAAAUUUGCCUAAUAUUAAUUUUAGUAAAAAAUUAAAUUUUGGAAAUUCGGGCCAAUAUUUCCUCGAUUAACGGUAAAAAACAGACUUUUUUUAACAAAAGCGUUUAAUUUUCGAUAAUCGACGAAAAACCGGAAUCCCCCAUUGUUUUUUCGUGCGAAUAGGAUGGGGGCGGCCCACGGGGUCGAUUUUGACUUUAUAAAACCUUUUUGGAGGUCUUUUUGGAGAUAUUUCCUGCAAAUUUUCAACUUUUCCUUUGUUAUUUUGUAAAAUGAAUUAUAUUUUAAUAUUUUGGGGUUAUUUUCAAAUUAUAUAUUACAAUUUAAUCCCGGUCGAAAAAGCAGGAUUUGAUCGGAUUUUAUUUUGCUGAACACGUUUAAUAAAUUAUAAUAAUGUUUUGGAAUUUUUUGUAUUAAUAUCGCCCGCAGGUUUCCGUCGUUAUUAGGGAAUAGCUUUUCGGUAUUCUUCUGCCGUAAAAUAUCGUCGAUUUAGUUUAUCGAAAUGCAAUAAAGGGUUAAAUCCUCCUGCACCAAACGUAUAAAUUGUAUAACGUUUAUUAUAGCGAUAUUUGUUUGUCGGUUUUUAUAUUAACCCACCGCGUUUUUCUUCAGUAUGUAUUUUCCUUUGGCAUUUUUUUUUAUACGAGAGGAAUUGUCGGCUUUUUUGGUCUUUUUCCUUUAAAUAUAACUUAGUGUUACGACCAGACAGUUGGGCCGGUACCAGAGAGGCCAGGUGGGGUCACACCCCUCCUGACGACAUUCGCCCAGAAAAAAUACCGACCGGCAAAACAACAAUUACCUAAAGGCAAGGCCACGAGAUCUUACGUAACCUUACGUAACGGCCAAGGGAAUGGAUCUUUAUAAUCUGUAAAAUUUCAGUUGAAAAUUACAAAUUAAACAAAUUAAGAGAAAUUAUAUUUGGAAUAUAAUUUAUAUAAGGUACGUUUAUUACCAUAUAAAUAAAUUCGAUUCUGGGAUUGUUUAGCAGCAAUUAAAUUUUAGUUAACCUUAAUAUUUAUUUCACAACGAUUAUAAUUUCACCCCCAGUUAUUAAGAA
rnacentral:sRNA from 1 species